GGAACACUUCAUCAUGCGACAGGACAGAAAUGCAUUGAACGUUCGAUCGACGAAUUCAGAACAAAAAACUUAAGGCUAUAGCGAUGAGUACAUCAGUACUGCACACAUACUGGGUUCUCGUAUUUAAACAUUGCGUCAAAGUUAUGGAUAUCCUUCAAUUUGAUCGGGGUCGAAUAUAACUUGCAAUACAAUUCAAUGAGAUAUGUGACAG
rnacentral:lncRNA from 1 species